GGCAGUGGUAGCUUAGUGGUUAAGUUGUUGGACUACUGAUUAGAAGGUCAUGAGUUCAAAUCCCAGCACUGCCA